AGUGAACGCUGGCGGUAGGCCUAACACAUGCAAGUCGAACGGCAGCACAGUAAGAGCUUGCCCUUACGGGUGGCGAGUGGCGGACGGGUGAGGAAUACAUCGGAAUCUACUUUUUCGUGGGGGAUAACGUAGGGAAACUUACGCUAAUACCGCAUACGAUCUACGGGUGAAAGCAGGGGAUCUUCGGACCUUGCGCGAUUGAAUGAGCCGAUGUCGGAUUAGCUAGUUGGCGGGGUAAAGGCCCACCAAGGCGACGAUCCGUAGCUGGUCUGAGAGGAUGAUCAGCCACACUGGAACUGAGACACGGUCCAGACUCCUACGGGAGGCAGCAGUGGGGAAUAUUGGACAAUGGGCGCAAGCCUGAUCCAGCCAUACCGCGUGGGUGAAGAAGGCCUUCGGGUUGUAAAGCCCUUUUGUUGGGAAAGAAAAGCAGCAGGUUAAUACCCCGCUGUUCUGACGGUACCCAAAGAAUAAGCACCGGCUAACUUCGUG
rnacentral:rRNA from 1 species